CCUACGGGUGGCAGCAGUGAGGAAUAUUGGUCAAUGGGCGCGAGCCUGAACCAGCCAAGUCGCGUGAAGGAUGACUGCCCUACGGGUUGUAAACUUCUUUUAUAAAGGAGUAAAGUGAGGCACGUGUGCCUUUUUGUAUGUACUUUAUGAAUAAGGAUCGGCUAACUCCGUGCCAGCAGCCGCGGUAAUACGGAGGAUCCGAGCGUUAUCCGGAUUUAUUGGGUUUAAUGGGUGCGUAGGUGGGUUGUUAAGUCAGUGGUGAAAUGUUGGGGCUUAACCGUAAAAUUGCAAUUGAUACUGUGUGCCUAGAGUACAGUUGAGGUAGGCGGAAUGUGUGGUGUAGCGGUGAAAUGCUUAGAUAUCACGCAGAACCCCGAUUGCGAAGGCAGCUUACUAAUCUGUAACUGACAUUGAUGCACGAAAGUGUGGGUAUCAAACAGGAUUAGAUACCCUAGUAGUC
rnacentral:rRNA from 1 species